UACGUAGGGUGCAAGCGUUGUCCGGAAUUAUUGGGCGUAAAGAGCGUGUAGGCGGCCCGAUUAGUCCGCUGUGAAAGUCCAGGGCUCAACCCUGGAAUGCCGGUGGAUACUGUCGGGCUAGAGUCCGGAAGGGGCGAGUGGAAUUCCUGGUGUAGCGGUGGAAUGCGUAGAGAUCCGGAAGAACACCGGAGGCGAAGGCGGCUUGCUGGGCUCGUCGUGACGCUGAGGCGCGAAAGCGUGGGGAGCGAACAGG
rnacentral:rRNA from 1 species